rnacentral:rRNA from 1 species
AGAGUUUGAUCAUGGCUCAGGACGAACGCUGGCGGCGUGCUUCACACAUGCAAGUCGAACGGGGAUGCAGCAAAAGCUUGCUUUUAUUGCAUCCUAGUGGCGGACGGGUGAGUAACACGUGAGCAACCUGCCCGACAUACUGGGAUAACAGCGGGAAACCGUUGCUAAUACCGGAUACUCCAUUUCUGGCGCAUGUCAGGAAUGGGAAAGGGUUUACCGAUGUCGGAUGGGCUCGCGUCCCAUUAGCUGGUUGGUGAGGUAACGGCUCACCAAGGCUGCGAUGGGUAGCUGGUCUGAGAGGACGAUCAGCCACACUGGAACUGAGACACGGUCCAGACUCCUACGGGAGGCAGCAGUGGGGAAUAUUGCACAAUGGGCGAAAGCCUGAUGCAGCGACGCCGCGUGGAGGAUGAAGGCCUUCGGGUCGUAAACUCCUGUCUGGGGGGAUGAACACUGACAGUACCCCCGGAGGAAGCCCCGGCUAACUACGUGCCAGCAGCCGCGGUAAUACGUAGGGGGCGAGCGUUGUCCGGAAUUACUGGGCGUAAAGCGCGCGCAGGCGGCUUGUUAAGUCAGGUGUCAAAAUGCGGGGCUCAACCCCGUAUCGCACUUGAAACUGGCAGGCUUGAGUGCAGGAGAGGGAAGUGGAAUUCCUAGUGUAGCGGUGAAAUGCGUAGAUAUUAGGAGGAACACCAGUGGCGAAGGCGACUUCCUGGACUGUAACUGACGCUCAGGCGCGAAAGCUAGGGGAGCAAACAGGAUUAGAUACCCUGGUAGUCCUAGCCGUAAACGAUGGGUACUAGGUGUUGGGGGUGACAAUCCCCCAGUGCCGCAGUUAACGCAUUAAGUACCCCGCCUGGGGACUACGGCCGCAAGGCUGAAACUCAAAUGAAUUGACGG